GAUGAGUGGGUGGGGCCUCCUGCUGGCCGGCGCGCCGGACUGUCCCUGUCCUUUCUGGAAGGCACUCCCGCCGGCCUCCUGGAUGGGAGUAGUAAACUUCCCUUUCCUGCAGCACCAGCUGCUGACCAAGAAGCCAGAAAGCAGUCCCACCCAGCGGGAGGGCUAGGCUUACCUCCCCACCCCACGCCCUCCCCCCACAAGAUGGGCCACAGCAGCGAGAUGGGAGUGUAGUCGCGCACUGAAAGUUCUCCUACACCAAUCCGAGCCGCCGUGCAACGCUGCUUCUGCGAUCGAGAGCAGCAGCAGCUGAAUCCUGCACAUAGGUGUGUGUGUGUGUGUGUGUGUGUGUGAGAGAGAGAGAGAGAGAGAGAGAGAGAGAGAGAGAGAGAGAGAGAGAAGCAAGGACAGAUGCCUCAAAGCGUGGCAAAGGAGUACACAGGACGGCAAAUAUCUUAAAGCAGAAUAACUCCACAGGAAGCUGGAAGGGCUGCGGAGAAGCCCAGGCAGAAGGCACUGUGAAGUCGCCGGGAGGGCAUGACGUGCAGUCCGUGAACUUGAGUAAGUCUGCACUCCAGGAGCUGUCCCGAGGGCUGGGCUGGUGCCUGGCACCUGCUCUUGGGUGGAGGCGCCCAGGAGCGCCCGCUCCAGUCCCAGCACCAGGAGCUGCCGGAGCGGCGCGAGCCUCGGGCUUAGAACCAUGAAAACCAGAUCAAGGCUUUGACGGUGGAUACCUCUGGAAAGUGGAAUUGG